UCAUUUGGUUCGGAUGUACAGCUCUUGUUCCUUAGAUCAUUUCGGCCGAAUUGAAGUUUUACAGUGUAUGAGUGCGUUUUUACGUUCAUUUCGGUGACAAAUUAGUUUAAAGAUACUGGAAUCCCUUAUAUAUAUUCCAGUUAUUUGGCUGGAAAAAUACAAAGCGAAUGAAACAAAAAGAAUUUGCUCUAACAUCAUGAUAGCCUACUUCAGCAAGUUCUCACCCUGAUCAAGUAGUACUGUUCUUCAGUGUGGUCUUCCAGUGCUGACUCACAUCUCAAACUCUAGGAUAAAGUUAUAUCAUCUCAGUCAAGUUUAUUUUGCUAACUCUUAAAGUUAACUUGUCAUAAAAGGUCCUUAACCCUGACAACUGAUGCCAUUAACACAGCAAUGGGCACGGUACUUUAACAGGAUGCAGGCGAAGGUUGUUGUCUGUUGGUUUUCCUCAGCAAAAUGCUAUUGCCAGCGGAAAAAAAUAUUCCACAUUCGAAAGAGAUGCUAGCAGUCCACCAGGCUAUCCAACAUUUUCAAUACAUGCUUGAAGGACUGCAGUUUGUAGUGCAUAUGAACCUUUAACCGUUUGUCCAUGCUCUCACGAAAAAGCCAGACUGUUGGAUGGAAUGUCAGCAGUGCCACCUGUCUGCAAUAUCCAACAAUGUCGCCGACGCCCUUUUCCAGACACUAUCUACACCGUCCAGAUAGGAUAUCAUAUCCCAAGAUACCAGUGGCUCAGAAGGAUGAUGUGAACCUUCAGCAACUCUGGCAGGCAAAAAACUGGCUUCACAUAUAGAGGGAUUUCACGAUAGACAACGAAAACAUGACCUGUGAAACAAUUACAAUGGUUCCCCUGUAUUUUCCGGGGAUGCGUACCAGAACCCCCACCGCCACAAAUAGUUGGAACUCCUAUAAAAAUGCUUAAAACCUCCUAUUUUGUUAGUUAAAACUUAAGUUAAAACUCAAGAAAAAAAAAACCCUAAAAAUGUUUAUACCUGGUCUUUUUAAUAGUUUUACAGUAGGGCCUCGUUAUCCGCGGGGGAUAGGGCCCAGAAACCCCCCAUGAUAAGUAAAUACCCAUGUUAUCCUGAUACCCCCUCAAAAAUUGCUUAAAACUGCCUACUUUGAUAAUUAACCCACCCAAGACCACUAUUCCAAUGUUUAUAACUGUCCACUUUAGUUCAAACACCAAAUAUGUUUUCAACUAUCACCUUAACCCUUAAACGCCGAAGCAGUAAAAAAAAAAUUGUCUCCCGUGUGCCGGAGGUGUUUCAGAGUGAGCGUAGAAGCGGAAAAAAUAUUUUUUUCAAAAAAUCACAGCGCGCUUAGUUUUCAAGAUUAAGUUUAGUAUGCAACCAUCAGAAAUGAAAAAAAUUAUCAUUAUCAUAUAAAAAUAAUGCGAUAUAUGAUAGCGCAAAAACGAAAUUUCAUAUAUAAUUGUAUUCAAAUCGAGCUGUGCGCAAAACGGUUAAAGGUAACAAGUUACUUUUUUUUCGUUGUAAUUUACACUAAAUUGCAAUCAUUUUGGUAUAUAACACAUUGUAAAACGAUAAAAGCAACACAGAGAAAAUAUUAUCACAAAAUAAUGCAUGAAUUCGUAACGCACGGACGUAAACAAAUAUUUUUUUCAAAAAUUCACCAUAAAUCUAAAUAUUGUCCUAGAGACUUCCAAUUUCUUUAAAAAUGAAGACAAAUGAUUGAAUAUUACUAUACUGUAAGAGUAUUAGCUUACAAUUGCAGUUUUCGA